UCCCUAACUAUAGCCUUCUCUCCUGGUCAAGUCUGUUUUAUUUUGGGGGUUUUUAAUUUUUUAUUUAUUUAAUUUGUUUUGUUUGUUUGUUUGUUUGUUUUAAGAUUUUAUUUAUUUGACAGAGAGAGAGAGCACAAGUAGGCACAGAGGCAGGCAGAGGGAGAGAGAGAAGCAGGCUCUCCGCCUAGCAGAGAGCCCAACGCGGGGCUCGACCCCAGGACCCUGGAAUCAUGACCCAAGCCAAAGGCAGCCACCCAACCAACUGAGCCACCCAGUGAUCUGCUCAUGAAGGCUCAGCUUCAGCUGCUGGAGCAUAUCAUACGGUGACAUUUCAGUGAACGGUGGCCUGCUUGGAACCAUCUGCCCUUGAGGACCUCCCACAUGGUGACAUCAGUAAUCUCCACAACCAGCAUGAAGCUUGAAUUUACAGCUCCGAGAUCAAGAGUCACACAUUCUAUGGACUGACCCCUCCAGAUGCCCCUGAAAUUAACUAUUUUAAAGUGAACAAUUCAGUGACAUUAAAUUCAUUUACAGUUGGGUAACAACCACCUCCGUCUACUUCCAAACCAUUUUUAUCACCCCAGAAUGAAACUCUGUAACCAUUAAGCAGUUAUUCCCUAAUCUCUCCUUCCCUCAGCCCCUGGCAACUACCAAUCUGACCUCUUUCUUGUUGGAUUUACCUAUUCUGAAUACUUCAUAAAAAGGGAAUCAUACAACAUUUAA